rnacentral:misc_RNA from 1 species
AAACAAGCAGCCAACUUUGAGCGGAUUGACGGUCCAGAUACAGUAGAUUUUUCUUAUAGCUUUACAGAAUCCCAAAAUUUACAGGUUAGUGCCCACAAUCCUAACGGUCACUUGCUUUUUCUCCUAAAAUAAUAAUGAUAAAACACUACACCUCUUCUUCUUCAAAAUCUAUCGACCGUUGUGUCCCUACCGCCUUUUACCAACGCUCCUGCUCAUCCUCCUCUUCUUUUCAAUCCAACAAUGAGGACCCAUUAAGCAAUCUGUGGAGAAAAUCAACCUCUACUUUCAAGAGACAGAGGCAGUGAGGAAAAGGGGAUUUCUCAAAUGGGUUGCUUUCUUGCGUGCUUUGGUUCCUCCAAAGAUCGCAAACGCCGCAAACAGAGGCGCAAGGUUCAACCUCGGGACCAGGUAAAGCCCAGUCUUUUCUUCGGACUUCUUUCCUUAUGGAUUUCUCAUUCUUUGUUUGGCUUCCAAGAGAGGAAGAGAAAAAAGAGUGGAAAUAAAUAUUUAAAAUCUUGAUAUGUUGUAUUGAUCUUCAAUUUUCAUUACAACAAACAAAUGGACAUUCAAUUGAUCGAUUGUAUGAGUUAUGAUUUCCAUUGCAGAGGAAUGCAGGUUACAAUCCAGUGCAACAAGCCGUUUCUUUGGUACAGAACAACCCAGAAAAACCAACUAACACAGUUUCAGAAAUCCGGUGAGGAAUAAGAAAGUUUUCAACUGGAUUUCGAGCAUUUCUGCCUUUUCUUUUCCCCUGUUUUCAUUUUGGUUUGGUGGUUUAAGUACAGGGAUACUCCAGAGGAGCGAUUGAGCUUGAGCCCAAGAAAAAAAGUAACAUUCAAUUCGAAUGUGACCACCUAUGAGCAUGUUACAGUUGAAGAAUCCAUAGAAUUUUCUGGAGAGAAUGAAGAUGGAAGAAAAAGCCAAGAGAAGGAUGAGAAUUUAGCAAAACCAAGCCAAUCUCAGUCCUCUUCUGAAGAUAGUUCGAUCACUUCCAGCUCAGGAUCUUAUCCUUCCAAUCAUAGGUACCAGAAUUGUAGAGACAGCGAUGAUGAAUUAGACUAUGGAGAAAGUGAAAUCGAGGACGAUGAUGGGGUGCUAGAUUAUGAAGAUGAUAUAUAUGAGGAUGAUGGAAUUUUAGAAUCGAGGUCUAAAGGAUCUUUGCCUGCAGGGACACCGCCACCAUUUACUGAGGAGAUUGACAGUCCUCCAGUGAUAAGCGGUUUGCCUGAGAGGGAACUGAAGCCAAAUCCGAAUGUUAGAGACAGAAGUGCUUAUGUGCAUUCUGUGCUGAACCCAGUUGAAAAUCUCACUCAAUGGAAGGCUGUGAAAGCGAAAGGGACAGCACCAUUGAAGCAGCAGAAAGAGAAUUUCACAGAGGGUCAAGAACCCCGAAUUUCAUUUAGUUCUGAGCCUAGUUUUAGGGAAUUGAGAUUCAAUGCCAAAUUUGAUCAAUCUAAGAAAUCAAACCAAGAAAUAGCAGUGGAUGCUAGCUUGUCUAACUGGUUGGGUUCAUCAGAGAACACACCAGUUACCAAGCCUAGCACAAUUGGUUUAGGUACUAUUACACCUGAAAAAAGCAUGUCACUGGGAUCAAAUUCCCCAAGAAGCUUUGAAGAUAGGCCUAUUUUAGGUGCACUAACUGUGGAAGAGCUUAAGCAGUUUUCGGUUUCUUCUUCACCAAGGAGGUCACCCAGUCAUAGUCCUGAUGAGAUGGCUAUCAUUGGGACUGUUGGAACCUGCUGGAAUCACAGUGGCUCUGGCAAGGUUUCUGGCUCAGCUGCUUCUUUCAACUGAAUAUCAAACACAACCAGCAAAUACAGAGAGGUACAUUAUGUCAAGUAAAAUUUUGUGGGGAUUCUUUUUGCAUUAGGUGAUAAAUAGUAACUGAACUGGGUCUGCAGGAGCAGGACAAGAGUAACUGAAUUGGCACUCUACUCCAUUUGAGACCAGGCUGGAGCGAGCUUUGAAUGAAGGUGCUACUGCAGCUUUUUACGCUUACACUUCUAAUGUUUGCUGAACUUGUCUUGGAGUGUUGUUUGUGCGUGAAUUCCAUGUAUUUUUUUCGUUGUUUUUUGCUUGUGAAUUCAUGGAUAUCUGUGAUAUACGUGCUUUCUGUUGUAAUUCUUUCAUUGGUUUGAUUGAAGAUUGAUUGUCAAUACAAUGUAAUUCAAUUAUAUUUUUUUUCCCUAUCCACAUUUCUUCAUGGAAGUUG